CCCUUAGAUGUUUUGGGCCGCACGCGCGCUACACUGACUGGUGCAACAAGUGUCGCUCCUUGGCCGAUAGGCCUGGGCAAUCUUUGAACGCCAGUCGUGAUGGGGAUAGAUUCUUGCAAUUUUUGAUCUUCAACGAGGAAUUCCUAGUAAACGCGAGUCAUCAACUCGCAUUGAUUACGUCCCUGCCCUUUGUACACACCGCCCGUCGCACCUACCGAUUGAAUGGUCCGGUGAACCCUCCGGAUCGGCUCGCGCCAACGCAAGUUGAGCAAAGGCCGAGAAGUUGGGUAAACCUUACCAUUUAGAGGAAGGUGAAGUCGUANCA
rnacentral:rRNA from 1 species